UACGGAGGGUGCAAGCGUUAUCCGGAUUCACUGGGUUUAAAGGGAGCGUAGGUGGGCUAGUAAGUCCGUGGUGAAAUCUCUGAGCUUAACUCGGAAACUGCCAUGGAUACUAUUAGUCUUGAAUAUUGUUGAGGUUAGCGGAAUAUGUCAUGUAGCGGUGAAAUGCUUAGAUAUGACAUAGAACACCAAUUGCGAAGGCAGCUGGCUAAACAAAUAUUGACACUGAGGCUCGAAAGCGUGGGGAUCAAAC
rnacentral:rRNA from 1 species